rnacentral:rRNA from 1 species
UUUCCGGUGAUGAUUGCGGCGGGGUCACACCUCUUCCCAUUCCGAACAGAGAAGUUAAGCCCGUUUGCGCCGAUGGUACUGCUUGGGCGACCUUGUGGGAGAGUAGGUAAUUGCCGGGA